UAGGGAAUAUUGCGCAAUGGGCGAAAGCCUGACGCAGCGACGCCGCGUGAGUGAUAAAGGCCUUAGGGUCGUAAAGCUCUGUUGAAUGGGAAGAAAAAAAUGACGGUACCAUUCGAGUAAGGACCGGCUAACUUCGUGCCAGCAGCCGCGGUAAGACGAGGGGUCCUAGCGUUGUUCGGAAUCAUUGGGCGUAAAGCGUGUGUAGGCUGCCAUUCAAGUCAGUUGUGAAAUCCCCGGGCUCAACCCGGGAAGUGCUUCUGAUACUGUUUGGCUUGAGUACUGGAGAGGAUAGUAGAAUUCCUGGUGUAGUGGUGAAAUACGUAGAUAUCAGGAGGAAUACCGGUGGCGAAGGCGGCUAUCUGGCCAUGUACUGACGCUGAGACACGAAAGCGUGGGGAGCAAACAGG
rnacentral:rRNA from 1 species